CUGGCCCAGCUGAUUGAUGGUGCUUGCACCUGAUUGACGAUGGAUCACCAGUGAGUGGCGGACGGGUGAGUAACACGUAGGUAACCUGCCCCCGGAGCGGGGGAUAACAUUUGGAAACAGAUGCUAAUACCGCAUAACAACAAAAGCCACAUGGCUUUUGUUUGAAAGAUGGCUUUGGCUAUCACUCUGGGAUGGACCUGCGGUGCAUUAGCUAGUUGGUAAGGUAACGGCUUACCAAGGCGAUGAUGCAUAGCCGAGUUGAGAGACUGAUCGGCCACAAUGGAACUGAGACACGGUCCAUACUCCUACGGGAGGCAGCAGUAGGGAAUCUUCCACAAUGGGCGCAAGCCUGAUGGAGCAACACCGCGUGAGUGAAGAAGGGUUUCGGCUCGUAAAGCUCUGUUGUUGGAGAAGAACGUGCGUGAGAGUAACUGUUCACGCAGUGACGGUAUCCAACCAGAAAGUCACGGCUAACUACGUGCCAGCAGCCGCGGUAAUACGUAGGUGGCAAGCGUUAUCCGGAUUUAUUGGGCGUAAAGCGAGCGCAGGCGGUUGCUUAGGUCUGAUGUGAAAGCCUUCGGCUUAACCGAAGAAGUGCAUCGGAAACCGGGCGACUUGAGUGCAGAAGAGGACAGUGGAACUCCAUGUGUAGCGGUGGAAUGCGUAGAUAUAUGGAAGAACACCAGUGGCGAAGGCGGCUGUCUGGUCUGCAACUGACGCUGAGGCUCGAAAGCAUGGGUAGCGAACAGGAUUAGAUACCCUGGUAGUCCAU
rnacentral:rRNA from 1 species